rnacentral:lncRNA from 1 species
GUUGAUCAUGCCUUUCCUGCUGAACCAAAGAGAUGCAUCUUUUCUGCUACUACAGCUUUCAUGGCAUCUCUUGCAGAAGCCAUAACAUUAACUAAAUCGCUUUUUGGAGUAUUUAGGGAGUCCAUGUAUGCUUUUCUUACUUCAGUGUUGACAUUGAACUUUCUAACACCAAGAUUUAUGCAUUCCUGUCAUGAAUCAAGAGGCUCUUACAAUGUUAGCAAUAUAAACUUUUAAGAGCAUGUUGCUAGUAUUAUUCAAUUUUCAAAUCUACAUUGCCAAUCACAAAUAAAAGUUAUUUUUAUGAAUAAGAGGUUCGACAUAAAGGAUAACGUUCAAAUUUCCGGUUUGAAUAAACAGCAUAAUUAAGUACUAAUAGUAAAUUUAUUUCUAUUAACAAAAAUAAAAUAAAGUCAAAAAUUUGUGAUAUACUGCAGCUGUAUCCUAGGCUCGAUGCUCAUAGCAUGUAGAUGUUACUUGAAAGACAGACAAAAAAUAAAGUUAACUUCCAAAAAAAUUAUGUAGAUUACUGUACCUUAACAAGUUCUGUGCCCAAACCAGAUGCACCAUGAAGCACCAGCAAAACUCCUUUCUUCUGGCUCACAGCACGCAGCUCCUAAACAUUGUAGAAUGUCAAAAUCUUAAUAUGAAAAGAAACCUCAACUAUGGUUCAAAUGACUGUCCAUUUGGACAAAUUAGGCAUCCACUGCCACCGAAAUUUUGUUUUUUGAAAUGGAAAAAAAAAAAAGGAGGAAGACAUGGAAACCUAGAAAAUCAGCUUCAACCAAAAUAAAUUCUAUUAAGGCAACUCAGUAUCACCAAGCCUGUAAGGAUGUUACUCCAUAAAUACAGAUCAAAUGCCACAUUGAAUUAUACAUAUUGAAAAGAUGAUUACUUUAUAGAACAACUUGAGGAACUAAAAGUACUUCCUAUAUAUAUUUCAGAGGUUGAAAAAAAAGUUGUUUUCACUUCUAUAAUAUGCUGAUUUCUGUUAUUAUUUUUUUUUUUAAUAGGGGCACUUCUGCUGAAAAGUUGAUUUAAGAGCUUUUCUUUGUCUUUUAUUUUUUGGUAAAUGAGUAACUGAAUGGAUAUUUUCUGUCUUUUAUAUUUUGCUAAAUAAGUAAGUGAAUGGAUAUUACAAGCAGGAGUAUACUAUCACCUUAAGCAAAUCUAAUCUGAGUUUUGGUCCACUUGCCGGGUACUUUCCAUGCACAUUACCAAUACACACUGCUAAAGCAUCAAUGCCAGUCUCAUCAAUGAAUUUCUCCGCCUGAAAUAAAUGAGACCAUCAUUAGUAAAUUUAGCAAUGGAAAGCACAGAAGAAUACUUUGAGAUCUUAUUAUAGAGGAGUGAGCGACCUUAUUAAUAUCUGUUAGCUUGGCUUCAUACUCUUCGACAGUCAAGUCAUCUUCUGUCCCUGACAAUCUUCCUAGCUCAGCUUCAACCAACAUAUCUUUUGAGUGAGCCAAUAAUGAUAUAAAUUUUGUGUAUUUAACAUUUUCUUCGAAAGAAAGAUGUGAACCAUCCACCAUCAAAGAACUGACUCCCUGGAAUUGUUGCAUUCAGACAUACAAUUUUACUUUAGAGAAAUGUAGAGAUAAUAAAGCAAACUAUAAAUGCAUGCCGGAUCAUCUUUGAGAUUGAAUUUGUGGUUUAAGUAUGAGUGUUUGCAAGUAGAAAUGAAAAUUACCUGUUCAAGAGCUUCCACAAGAUCUUCCUUUGAAGUUCCAUGAUCAAAGUGAACAGUGAUGGGCACCUGCAAGAAAUAUAGGUAGUGAAAUCAGAAAGUUAGUAAAACCCUCAUUUGUUUUGUUGAAUGAUACUGGUUUCUCUUGACUCUAACACAGCAUCCAAAACCAUAAGACCCCGUUUACUUAUUGAAAACAUUUUCAGGUUUCAUUUAAUAAAAUUUAUGUUCUUUUUAAAUUGCUAGAAAGGAGAUGGAAGACUCAUGUAGUGAAUAAUUGUGAUAGAGAGGUGAUGGAAGACACACUAAUGCAUUUUCAAAAACAAUAUAUUCACAUUUUAAAAAUUUAUGGAAAUAAUAGAUGCGUUGUAAAAAAUUGUAAUAAAAAAAUGGUGAGGGCAAACAUUUGAUAAGGCAUGUCUUUGUUUGUUCCAUCUUGACAAAACAACUUUUCUUUCUGAUUACCAAUUAGAUGUCCAUUCACUUCAAAUGAUUUCUUUUUUAUUAAAAACAAAGGAAAUUCAAAUAAAACACUUCAAAUAAUAUCAUUGCCACUUACACUAGCGCGCUCUGCAGCAGAAAUGCAACAAGAAACCAAGGGAAUUCCUCCUUGCUUCAAGGCGCCGGGAUGAAUCUGAAAAUUAUAUAGGUUAUACAAAAACUUUAGAAACACCAAGUUUUAAAAAUAUUAAAUAAAAGAAUUUCAAGUCAUCUAAGAAGCCUAUACAUAAAGUGAUACACAUAUACAAAGACCGGACAUACUAAAUAGUAAAUACUAAUAUGAAACAAUCAUUCAACAAUGCAAUAAAGUUUAGUUGUUUUGCAAAUAAUUCAAAACUCUGAAUGCCAUGAUAUUUCUGUUAUUUCCUCAAAAUAGUUUGAAUUGUGUUCAUAACAAUGAAAAUGAACACAUGCAAAUCAAUAUUUUCAACUGAUUGCUUCUGACCUGUAAUAUUGCAGGACUUUGCGUUUCCUCUGCAGCAGAAACAACAGCGUCAACUCCUUCCAAAUUAUAGACAUUAAAUGCCCCAACAGCGUAUCCCCCUUUUUCUGCAUUCUUUAUGCCAAAAAGAACAAAAAAAUCAGUAUUUGUGAAGAAGCAGAUGCAAAACCUUGAACCAUAUUAUCCUUACGUUUAGAAUCUCUUUUGUUGAUGAAAUUGUUGAUGGACAAGUCCAAGACUUCACGACUUGUGCCAGUGCUCCACUGUCACCAACAUUGCCUACCAAAUACAAAUUAUUUUUGAAAAAAUGAGAUGAGAUUUAGAUUGAAGAAAGAUAUAGAUUUAAUAGUACCAGAUACUCAGACUUGAUACAAAAUGUAACGUAAAAAGAAGGAAAACGACAACUGCAAAUGACAUGCCUGGGAAGACAAUGUAAGGAACUCCAGGAUGUCUACUUUCAGGGCCUAGUUGCCACAAGGGAAUACCGGCGAGUGCUUGUCCAACAACCUUGGCGCAUUUUGCACCAAGGGCUUUUGUAGCAAGGUCUGAAGAGGUAAUACCACCCUAGAAAAGGUACUAUUUGUCAGUGUUUGAUUAAAACUUUGGACAUAAUUUGAAAGAAAGGAUAAGCAGUACAUUUUUUCAGCACAUAAUAAAUAAUCUUUAAAUAUUAUGUCUUAUACAAACAAGUAACUAAUUAAACAGCAGAAUGCAGGUUCACUAAGUCAUUUAAGUCAUUUAAACGUAGAUUACCUUUGCAAUUAUAUAGCGAGGUUUUGUAGUAAUUCUUUUCAUUAUUUCCACCAAAGCAGAACUCACUUUAUAGUUAAUGUCCAAACUCUCAGAGGCAGCUGCAAAUUUGAAAAUAAACUGGAAGAUUAGAAAGAGGGACAUAAACAUUAUUUCACAAAUUUAAAUGCACUAGCUUUCUUUGAAUGGUCAUAACAAGAACAGAGAAGCUAUCUUAGAGAUGAUCUUGAAUGCUAAAAUAGUUAUAAAAUCUUGACAAGAAAGAAGCGGAGAGAAUGGAUAAAAAUCACAAAGCAGAGAGACAAACAUUUCCCGGUUAUGAGAUUUCGGCUGGUCAUUACAAGCGUGUCUUUACGAUUUUUAAGAUAUACAUCUGCUAAUUCAGCUGCUCUACUGAUUUCAUCCUCCCUCUCCUCAAUAGACCCCAUUGCAAGUUUUUCAACGGAAGCCUAUUACAAAAGAUUCUUAAUCAGACCAGCAAAUAAAAUUUAAAAAGAAAGAUUGCAUUAGGCAUAAAAGUGAAUGUUUUCACUAAAUAGAUUCACAUUAUUGUUAACUACAUGAGAGGAUUUAAAUUAACAACAAAUGAUGAAAAGAAAAUUAGAAUGUUUAUCACCUCAAUGCUUCUUAAGAAAUGACCGCACUGUAAUUUAAGCUGUUCAACCUGGGAUUAUAAGCAUGAGGAAAAAAAAAAUUAGAAAAUGGGUUUCCUUGGAAAAUUUGAUAUCAAUAACUUGAUUCAAUUUUUCACCUGCUUUGUUGUUUUCGGAACAUAAGAUCCCACAAUAGUCAAACCUCCAUUCCUUUCUCUACCUAUUCCUAGAUCCUUUGGCAACACCGGAGGUUUAGAAAUGAUUCCGAUACAGGCAGAUACAAAGCUAGCAGCAGUCCGACACAAGAAACGUUUCCCUGACAACUCUGCCUGUUAAUAAGUCAGAACAAUACAAGAGCAUUUUCAUCAGUAAAAAAACAUGCAGAAAGGGAAGAAGAAAAAGCAAAAUGUAGAAGAAAGAAUUUUUGCCUUGAUCAUUCCAAGUGCAAAUACAGUCAUGUCUCUUUCACUGGCCGCAUUUACUAUGCAUACUGACCCCUGCUUAAUGCAAUAUACGUAAUCUCGGUAAGUAGAUUGAAAAUCUCUACUUAUUCAUAAUAUCUUGCGUAGGCAAAGAAACCCUACAUGUUUUUAGAAACUAAAGAGAAGAAACCAUAUCUCAAAUUUAACAUACCUUCUUCAAACUACAUAGAUGCUUACAAACUGCAUCUGGCCCCCCUUUCCUCAAAAGCUGGAUAGAAAUAGAUACAACACUACUUGCAAGUAUGCGACCAUUUGUCUUUUCCUCUACCCACUAUAUCAGGACAAAAAAGCAUCUCAAAUCAUUAUUAUUCUUAUGAAUAAUAUGAAAAUAUAAAUUAAAUUGAUCAAGUCAAAGGAAGGGACAAAAAGCUUUACAUCACAUAAGUUUGAAGAUUUGUAGCCAAAGGAAGCAUCUUUAGCGAACUCCGUGUCCCCUGCAGGAACAAGCCUGGAGACAAAAAAUAAGUAGGAUUAUAACUUUGUAUCCGUUCAGGACUCCUUAUAGCAAGAUUAUGAAUGGAAAUACAUACAUUUCGGAAUCAGCAACAAAAUGUGUAUCAUUAAUAGUGUAACGGCCCCCUUGAAGGAAAAAUGGACAAAUUAUCCAUGCAUCCAUUUCACCCAAUACUGAAACAACUGCAUCUGUUUCCUGUAAAAGACAGCCGUGUCAUUUUCCAAAUUGAAGCAUAAGUCCCAAUACCAUUGAAUACAAUAACUACUGAUCUAAAAUAAAUCAUCCUUGCCUCUGGAAAAUGCCCGCGCAAAGUUGAAUCACCCCUUAAAACAACUGUAAAAUCGAUCUUGUCAACUGAUUUUGCUGCAGUGUCUAGAUUUUUGCAAAUCUCUUUUAUCAAUAUAGUGGCCUGUCAAAUAUCAAAUGUAAAUUAUGAACUUCAUUGAACUCAAUAUUUCUGAUCAUUGAAAUAUCUAAUAGUUUGAACUCUGGUCUGGAGAACAGCUCAUGCAUCAGGUUUCUUUUGAAGUAUUUUAUUAUAGAGGUGUGUUAUUUGAACAACCAUUUGUGCGACAAAUUCUGGGACAACCAUAAAUUUACAAAGAAAAGUAGGUAUUGACACGGAAACCAAAGCAAUAGAGAGAGAGAAAGUAAAAACAU